AAUCAACGCUGGCGGCGUGCCUAACACAUGCAAGUCGAGCGAGAAAGGGUAGCAAUAUCCGAGUAAAGCGGCGCACGGGUGAGUAACACGUGGGUAAUCUGCCUCGAAGUGGGGAAUAACACCGGGAAACCGGUGCUAAUACCGCAUAAUCUGGCGAAGUCUGCGGAUAUUGUCAGCAAAGGAGCAAUUCGCUUUGAGAGGAGCCCGCGGCUGAUUAGCUAGUUGGUGGGGUAAUGGUUCACCAAGGCGACGAUCAGUAGCCGGUCUGAGAGGACGGUCGGCCACACUGGAACUGAGACACGGUCCAGACUCCUACGGGAGGCAGCAGUGGGGAAUUUUUGGCAAUGGGGGCAACCCUGACCAAGCAACGCCGCGUGGGUGAUGAAGUCCCUUGGGACGUAAAACCCUUUCGACAGGGACGAAACCGCAAGGUUGACGGUACCUGUAGAAGAAGCCCCGGCUAACUCCGUGCCAGCCGCCGCCGUAAGAC
rnacentral:rRNA from 1 species